rnacentral:rRNA from 9 species
UAAUGGCUCACCAAGGCGACGAUCCCUAGCUGGUCUGAGAGGAUGAUCAGCCACACUGGAACUGAGACACGGUCCAGACUCCUACGGGAGGCAGCAGUGGGGAAUAUUGCACAAUGGGCGCAAGCCUGAUGCAGCCAUGCCGCGUGUGUGAAGAAGGCCUUCGGGUUGUAAAGCACUUUCAGUCGUGAGGAAGGUAGUGUAGUUAAUAGCUGCAUUAUUUGACGUUAGCGACAGAAGAAGCACCGGCUAACUCCGUGCCAGCAGCCGCGGUAAUACGGAGGGUGCGAGCGUUAAUCGGAAUUACUGGGCGUAAAGCGCAUGCAGGUGGUUUGUUAAGUCAGAUGUGAAAGCCCGGGGCUCAACCUCGGAAUAGCAUUUGAAACUGGCAGACUAGAGUACUGUAGAGGGGGGUAGAAUUUCAGGUGU